GCAGGGGUAGCCAAGCCAGGCCAACGGCGCAGGACUUAAGAUCCUGUGGUGUAGUCCUUCGUGGGUUCGAAUCCCACCCCCUGCA
rnacentral:tRNA from 1 species